UACGUAGGGUGCAAGCGUUAAUCGGAAUUACUGGGCGUAAAGCGUGCGCAGGCGGUUUUGUAAGUCUGUCGUGAAAUCCCCGGGCUCAACCUGGGAAUUGCGAUGGAGACUGCAAGGCUAGAAUCUGGCAGAGGGGGGUAGAAUUCCACGUGUGAGCAGUGAAAUGCGUAGAGAUAGUGGGAGGAACACCGAUGGCGAAGGCAGCCCCCUGGGUCAAGAUUGACGCUCAUGCACGAAAGCGUGGGAGCAAACG
rnacentral:rRNA from 1 species